AAUUUUUCUUAGCUCUUUUGGAAUUAUUUCUAAUAGGAUUUCUGACCUUGGUUAGAAAUCCCAA
ensembl:snRNA LOC120097970 U7 small nuclear RNA